GGGUGCGGCGAGCAAUUGGCUUUUAACCAAUUGGUCGUAGGUUCGAAUCCCACACGACCCACCA
rnacentral:tRNA from 1 species